AAAAGAACAAAGGUUUAUGGCGGUGCCGGUGUUGGCGAAGCUUCGGGUUUCAAGAUUUUUUAUUCGUUAAUUUGAAGCUGGUAGUUUUGAAAUUCAUUUGAGAAUGAACAUUGCCCGAAUAAAUAUUUGGUGUUCUGUUCCGGGACUUUCUUUAAGAGAUCCCCACUCAAGACUUGCAAGAGCACGCCUUUCCUUGUCUCAGUCAUCUUGCUUGCGCCUAUGUGCUUAUUCACCCAGUAAAUCUCUUCUUUACAAGGCAUUCCCGAGGUUAGUUCAUACAGUGGCAAAACAUAGAAGAUAUACUAUGCAAGUAAUGCAUGGAGAAGGAUACUCAGACGGCGGACAUGAGGAGCAACCAAGGGAAGAUUUGUUU